rnacentral:lncRNA from 1 species
GGAAGGAUAUGAUUUCUUCAUCUUCAACUUUCUCAGUUAUUGUAAACGAAAAGGAGCAAGUCUACAUCCAUUCGCCUCUUACUUCAAAUGGUAACACAUUUUAAGAAGAUAAGGAGAAAAAAAAAUCGAUAAUAAUUGAAACUUUGGUAAGCAAAGGAUUUACAGGUAAACGGACUUUGAAUUAAUACAAUUUUUAUUGUUUAAUUUAUGAAGAAGUCUUCUUGAGAGUUUAUUCUAAUUUUUAAUGUUAAUUUUGUUGUUGUUGUUGACUUGCAGAAGAGACAAAGAAUAUCGAAAGAAAGAAAAUAAAAGAUAAGUGCAAAGUAGAGUUUUCAGUUUUAUUGGUAUAGUUGGCAAGCU